rnacentral:rRNA from 1 species
GAUGAACGCUGGCGGCGUGCCUAAUACAUGCAAGUCGAGCGAACAGAUGAGGAUCUUGCUCCUCUGACGUUUGCGGCGGACGGGUGAGUAACACGUGUAUAACCUACCUAUAAUACUGGGAUAACUUCGGGAAACCGGAUCUAAUACCGGAUAAUAUAUUGAACCGCAUGGUUCAAUAGUGAAAGACGGUUUUGCUGUCACUUAUAGAUGGAUCCGCGCCGCAUUGGCUAGUUGGUAAGGUAACGGCUUACCAAGGCAACGAUGCGUAGCCGACCUGAGAGGGUGAUCGGCCACCCUGGAACUGUGACACGGUCCAGACUCCUACAGGCGGCAGCGGUGGGGAAGUGUCCGAAAUGGGAGAAAGCCUGCAAGAGUAACGCCGCGUGGGUGCUGAAGGGCUUCGGAUCGUAGAACUCUGUUAUUAGGGAAGAACAAAUGUGUAAGUAACUAUGGACGUCUUGACGGUACCUAAUCAGAAAGCGACGGCUAACUACGUG